rnacentral:snRNA from 1 species
CCGCCUGAACCGCCUGUACUAU